rnacentral:rRNA from 1 species
GACGAACCGUGCGAACGUUGUUCGGAAUCACUGGGCUUAAAGGGCGCGUAGGUGGUCUGUCAAGUCGGGGGUGAAAUCUUUCGGCUCAACCGGAAAACUGCCUUCGAUACUGGCAGGCUUGAGGGAGGUAGGGGUUGCGGGAACUACCAGUGGAGCGGUGAAAUGCGUUGAUAUUGGUAGGAACGCCGGUGGCGAAAGCGCGCAACUGGACCUCUUCUGACACUGAGGCGCGAAAGCUAGGGGAGCAAACGGG